CGCUACUUACAGCACCUCUAAAUCAGGACUUCUUAACCCCGGGUUUCUGAAUCCACAGAACAAUGGACAGAGAAAAGGAGACUCAGGAGCAGGAUUUGUGUGUGUGUCUGCAUGUGUACGGUUGGGUGGGGAACCACUUGCCUCUAGAGACACGCAGAGCAAAAGCCCCUUUCUACACUUUUCAGAUAAUACAGAAUAACUCUCAUCUUGCUGCUGCUGCCUGGGUUCUUGGUGAUUUGGGAAGUUGUGCACUAACAGUUUCCUCUUCUUAAGAGUAGCAGAAAUCUGAAGCCAGACUUCCAUGAGAAAAUCAGAGGAAACAGAUGCCUAACAGAUAUGAUGGCUAAGUAGUAAAAAAUAAAAUAAAAUAAUUAUGCA
rnacentral:lncRNA from 1 species